rnacentral:rRNA from 1 species
UACGUAGGGUGCAAGCGUUGUCCGGAAUUAUUGGGCGUAAAGAGCUCGUAGGCGGUCUGUCGCGUCGGCUGUGAAAACCCGUGGCUCAACUCCGGGCCUGCAGUCGAUACGGGCUGGCUUGAGUGCGGUAGGGGAGACUGGAAUUCCUGGUGUAGCGGUGAAAUGCGCAGAUAUCAGGAGGAACACCGGUGGCGAAGGCGGGUCUCUGGGCCGUAACUGACGCUGAGGAGCGAAAGCUAGGGGAGCAAACGGG